AUAGAGUCAAGUGAAUAAGUGCAUCAGGUGGAUGCCUUGGCGAUGAUAGGCGACGAAGGACGUGUAAGCCUGCGAAAAGCGCGGGGGAGCUGGCAAUAAAGCAAUGAUCCCGCGAUGUCCGAAUGGGGAAACCCACUGCAUUCUGUGCAGUAUCCUAAGUUGAAUACAUAGACUUAGAGAAGCGAACCCGGAGAACUGAACCAUCUAAGUACCCGGAGGAAAAGAAAUCAACCGAGAUUCCGCAAGUAGUGGCGAGCGAACGCGGAGGAGCCUGUACGCAAUAACUGUCGAGAUAGAAGAACAAGCUGGGAAGCUUGACCAUAGUGGGUGACAGUCCCGUAUUCGAAAUCUCAACAGCGGUACUAAGCGUACGAAAAGUAGGGCGGGACACGUGAAAUCCUGUCUGAAUAUGGGGGGACCAUCCUCCAAGGCUAAAUACUCAUCAUCGACCGAUAGUGAACCAGUACCGUGAGGGAAAGGCGAAAAGAACCCCGGGAGGGGAGUGAAACAGAACCUGAAACCUGAUGCAUACAAACAGUGGGAGCGCCCUAGUGGUGUGACUGCGUACCUUUUGUAUAAUGGGUCAACGACUUACAUUCAGUAGCGAGCUUAACCGAAUAGGGGAGGCGUAGGGAAACCGAGUCUUAAUAGGGCGAUGAGUUGCUGGGUGUAGACCCGAAACCGAGUGAUCUAUCCAUGGCCAGGUUGAAGGUGCCGUAACAGGUACUGGAGGACCGAACCCACGCAUGUUGCAAAAUGCGGGGAUGAGCUGUGGAUAGGGGUGAAAGGCUAAACAAACUCGGAGAUAGCUGGUUCUCCCCGAAAACUAUUUAGGUAGUGCCUCGAGCAAGACACUGAUGGGGGUAAAGCACUGUUAUGGCUAGGGGGUUAUUGCAACUUACCAACCCAUGGCAAACUCAGAAUACCAUCAAGUGGUUCCUCGGGAGACAGACAGCGGGUGCUAACGUCCGUUGUCAAGAGGGAAACAACCCAGACCGCCAGCUAAGGUCCCCAAUGAUAGAUUAAGUGGUAAACGAAGUGGGAAGGCCCAGACAGCCAGGAUGUUGGCUUAGAAGCAGCCAUCAUUUAAAGAAAGCGUAAUAGCUCACUGGUCGAGUCGUCCUGCGCGGAAGAUGUAACGGGGCUCAAAUCUAUAACCGAAGCUGCGGAUGCCGGUUUACCGGCAUGGUAGGGGAGCGUUCUGUAGGCCGAUGAAGGUGCAUUGUAAAGUGUGCUGGAGGUAUCAGAAGUGCGAAUGUUGACAUGAGUAGCGAUAAAGCGGGUGAAAAGCCCGCUCGCCGAAAGCCCAAGGUUUCCUACGCAACGUUCAUCGGCGUAGGGUGAGUCGGCCCCUAAGGCGAGGCAGAAAUGCGUAGUCGAUGGGAAACAGGUUAAUAUUCCUGUACUUGAUUCAAAUGCGAUGUGGGGACGGAGAAGGUUAGGUUGGCAAGCUGUUGGAAUAGCUUGUUUAAGCCGGUAGGUGGAAGACUUAGGCAAAUCCGGGUCUUCUUAACACCGAGAAGUGAUGACGAGUGUCUACGGACACGAAGCAACCGAUACCACGCUUCCAGGAAAAGCCACUAAGCUUCAGUUUGAAUUGAACCGUACCGCAAACCGACACAGGUGGGCAGGAUGAGAAUUCUAAGGCGCUUGAGAGAACUCAGGAGAAGGAACUCGGCAAAUUGAUACCGUAACUUCGGGAGAAGGUAUGCCCUCUAAGGUUAAGGACUUGCUCCGUAAGCCCUGGAGGGUCGCAGAGAAUAGGUGGCUGCGACUGUUUAUUAAAAACACAGCACUCUGCUAACACGAAAGUGGACGUAUAGGGUGUGACGCCUGCCCGGUGCUGGAAGGUUAAUUGAAGAUGUGCAAGCAUCGGAUCGAAGCCCCAGUAAACGGCGGCCGUAACUAUAACGGUCCUAAGGUAGCGAAAUUCCUUGUCGGGUAAGUUCCGACCCGCACGAAUGGCGUAACGAUGGCCACACUGUCUCCUCCUGAGACUCAGCGAAGUUGAAGUGGUUGUGAAGAUGCAAUCUACCCGCUGCUAGACGGAAAGACCCCGUGAACCUUUACUGUAGCUUUGCAUUGGACUUUGAAGUCACUUGUGUAGGAUAGGUGGGAGGCUUUGAAGCAGAGACGCCAGUCUCUGUGGAGCCGUCCUUGAAAUACCACCCU
rnacentral:rRNA from 1 species